AUUGAACGCUGGCGGCAGGCCUAACACAUGCAAGUCGAGCGCGCGGCGGACGGGGGAGUGAUGUCUGUGGAAAUGCCUGUUGGGGAGGGAGAACUCCUCGAAACGCUAGCUCAUACCGCAUACCCUCAGAUGUGCCCAGAUGGGAGUAGAUAGUAGGUGGGGUAACGGCUCACAUAGGCGCCGAUCCCUCGCUGGUCUGAGAGGAUGACCAGCCACACUGGAACUGAGACACGGUCCAGACUCCUACGGGAGGCAGCAGUGGGGAAUAUUGCACAAUGGGCGCAAGCCUGAUGCAGCCAUGCCGCGUGUGUGAAGAAGGCCUUCGGGUUGUAAAGUACUUUCAGCGGGGAGGCGUUACCCGCAGAAGAAGCACCGGCUAACUCCGUGCCAGCAGCCGCGGUAAUAC
rnacentral:rRNA from 1 species